CCGGCUCUGGAGGACUAAGGUUCCCUACCCCUGCUCUACAGCCACAGACUCUGGUCAGGAGAAGAGAUUUUCCAGUGCCUACUCUCCUGGGUUCAGUCUGUGAAGCUGCAAAAAUGGCAGACUGGAAGACUCUGAUGGCUUUCAUCAAUCAGAAUCUCAACAGGUGAAGACUUGUUGUCAGAACUGAAGGAGGAAGUUUAGGAAAACCAGCACAUGAUGUAGAGAAAUUUCAGCACUGUGGCUUGACAGGAGCAGGUCCUGCCUUACCUGAACACCUUUUUCAGUGAUGGAGCUUCCUGUUUGUAUCCAAACACUGGGUCAGUUAAAGAGGGUGGGGGGGGUAGAGAAAGGCCACUUCCUCCCUUGUGUUGGUGUAGCUGAAGUUGUAGAAGUUAAAUAUUGCACAGUACUGUGUCAAUAUUUUCUCCUCUUGCCUUUGGUGCAGUUUAUCCAUCUAGAUUAUUUUGGUAUGGACAACCCACUUUUGUAGUUUUUGCUGAGCUCUGUCUCUGAAAAGUAAUGUUUCCAUCCUAAAGAAAUCCAGACUGUGUUACAGAUCUACUGACCUUGUAGGAAUUCUUUUCUUUCCUCUGAACUACAUCUGCUAACCAUAUCAGUGUCCUAGAGGAAGCACGUAAAGGCUUUGAACAAGAAGCUUGACUUCAUGACAGGCUUCAUGCUUCUUUGUAGUUGGCAGGUGUAGACACUGCACCAGAUUUCUGAGUUUCAACAAAUUCAUGCAUUUCAAUAAUAUUUGGGACUAGAAAAGGUGGCAGUCAAGAAACGGGCAGUGCUUCAUUUAACAAAGUCAAUAUUUACAGCAGAAAAGAUGCAAGUCUAGAUCAUUGGCUUUAAAUAUUUAUUAAAAACCCUGGACUAACCUCCAGCCUUAAAACAUGUUUAGCAUAAAAAUAUUAACAGGUGUAAUUAAGACAUGUGUGCACAAAGUCUUUCAAAUACAGCCUCUGUCAUGUCAAGAAACAUGAACAGAACAUUUAAAAUGGCUGUCAGAUAAAAUCCACAGCAAACCUGAUAUGCUGCCAGUGCCAGCUAGUUUCCAUGUUGGAAAAACACAGAUGAUGUGGAAGUGCUUUAAAUUUCUCUGAAAACCACCAGCAUGUGGUUUCAUAAUCAGACCUCCACACAUCAUAUUUCUGCCAUGUUGUUUUUGAGACCAGUAUAGCAAAAAUCCUCAUCUUGAGGCUCCAGAAUGAGAAUUCACAAAUAAAAGGGGCAGUAACAGCAGCUACAGCCAUCUUUAUGCUGUUAGCAAGGCUCUCCACUUUGUGUAGAAACUUGCACUGUGAAGUCCGGGGUUGUUUACAUUCAAUGCGGUGCUGAAGACACUGGUGUUGCAAUCAUCAUCUACAUUAUUUCUACAAUUAUUGGAAAAUGAAACAACACAUUUUCAUCUCUUAAUGUUAUAUAAAAAACCUGUGAUGGUGCUCUCUGAUUUUCCAGUUUGUGUUUUGGAUAGACUAAAAUGUAUUUACAAUAGCCAGAGCCGACUGAAUUCAAAUAUUUCUAAAAUCUAAUGGAUUAAAAAUAAAGGACCUAAAAUUUACCCUGACUUCUAUUUACUAAAAGAGAUCAAAUCUGAGACUCUGCUAUGUUGAGCUACAUAAAAGCAGAAAUAGUAAAAUGUAAUACAAAAAAGCUGAUAUACAUUAGUGUCUGUAAUUAAAGGAGCAUUAGCAGCUGGCAAGGCUCUCCACUUGCUCCUUCAAAACUUGUAUUGUGAAGCCCGAAUUUGUUUACAUUCAUACCAGUGUUUAAAACAACAGGGUUGAAUUCAUAUCAGUUGUCCAGUGGCAUCGACCAGCCAAACAUCUGGUAUGUUGUUGUUUUUUUUUUUUUUUGUGGAGGGUCCAUUGAGGUCCAGGCACAACCUUGCCCACAGGAUGAUGAUAGGGGCCCUGAUAAUUUGCACCCUUUGUGAUUGAGUUUACCUCCAGGUGUUGGGUGUACUCCCUGAAACUGAAUCACUGAAAGAUGCAGAGUCAGUUCUUGUGUAAUUAUAGUCAAUACAUUUCACCAAAUGCAAUUAAUUCCCAAGAUAAUGACUGAACUAAAAACAGUUCUGUUUAAUAAUUGGAGAUACUGGCAUGAAGUGGGACGCCCUGAUUGAGAUGCUGAGAAUCUGGACUCCUCCUAAACUUUCUCCUUCUGUUUUGAACCAAGUCUUCACCUAAAGAUGGAAGAAAACAGAAAAUAUUUAAUGAGUACAAUAGACCCAAAAUUCAAAAUGAAUUCAGUUUCUCAUGUUCUAGUAACCUUGAAAAACACUCACCUGUUUGUAGGUCAGUCCUGUCACCUCUGUCAUCUCCCGUGGGUCAUGGUAACAUUUUUGGUUAAAGUGAUGGACAAGAGGUUUUUAUCUGGCUGUCUGAGAACAGCCCCCGGGUCCUUCCUUUGACCACCUGGGUCUUUUCUUCAUUCUCUCACACAGUGCUUUUGACAUUCUGGUUCUGUGGGACAGCAAAACUGUUCCUCUGUGACAGAGCUGGAAACAGCUUCAGCAGCCUCAAAGAUGUUGUUCCUCGUCUCCUUAUUGAGAGCACUCCCCACCCAUGCAGUGAGCUCUGCCAUGGGGAGACUUCCUUCAAGGCUGCCGCCAGAACUCCACAAGUCUAUAUGGUCCACAUGGCUCAGCUCAUCUGUGGUGCCAUGACUCACUGUAGAAAAGCCAAUUAUACCAGGGUAAACUGCUGAGUGGAUUUUAAGGCCUAGAGUUGGUGUAGGCAAGAAUGUACAGGACUGAAAAAAUCAUUUUUCCCUCAUUGAUCCGCAUUCAUUGAUUCAUUGUUUAGAAAACUUAAAAAAAAAAAAAAAAACAUUUAGAAAGUGGUCAAAUAAAUGAGCUCUCCUAAAACCUUCCACCUUAUCUUUCUGAAUAUUCAUCUUUGUUUGCAAUUUAUCAUUUUAACCACUGAUGUCUGAAGAAAAAGUGUAAUCUCACAGAUAAUGACCUGUUUGUAGUAUUGGGCGGCAGGAUUUCAAUUUCUUUAUACCAGUGAUAUCAAAGUGAGGGCUGCAAGAGGUCGUUUAUAAAUUUGUAAUCGGCUGUGUAAGAUGGUAGCCUGGUAUCAUCUGCAUAUUAACUCACCUCCACAUUUACUGUGGGAAAUGGCCACUGAUGUGUGAGUGGGUUUGUUUCACAACUGCUGUGAGCCAGUGGCUGUGAUUGGGCUGGGUUCACUGAAGGCAGGUGUAUUUGAUUGCACUCUAGUCUAGUCUACUUAUACUCCAGACUACAAGUACUGCUGUUAGUGAUGGCCAAAUGAAGCUUUCUGAAGUGUUGAAGCUUGUAUUGGCCAAAAGUAUGAAGAGCAGCUCGAAUCUACAACUUUGAAAUGAACUGCUUCAUUAUCAUUGCCCAGUCACAGCUUCUGUUUAACAUCAUGUGAUAAUUCUGUCUGAUAUCAGGCUAACGUUGUGGUGCUUUGAACCUGUAUUUUUCUCUGUGUGACACAAUUUUGUCUGUUUCAUGAAUAAAUGUGAUGAAUAAAUUUGUUUAAACAUGAA